rnacentral:rRNA from 1 species
GACGAACGCUGGCGGCGCGCCUAACACAUGCAAGUCGAACGAGCGAGAGAGAGCUUGCUUUCUCAAGCGAGUGGCGAACGGGUGAGUAACGCGUGAGGAACCUGCCUCAAAGAGGGGGACAACAGUUGGAAACGACUGCUAAUACCGCAUAAGCCCACAGGUCGGCAUCGACCAGAGGGAAAAGGAGCAAUCCGCUUUGAGAUGGCCUCGCGUCCGAUUAGCUAGUUGGUGAGGUAACGGCCCACCAAGGCAACGAUCGGUAGCCGGACUGCGAGGUUGAACGGCCACAUUGGGAGUGAGACACGGCCCAGACUCCUACGGGAGGCAGCAGUGGGGAAUAUUGCACAAUGGGGGAAACCCUGAUGCAGCGACGCCGCGUGGAGGAAGAAGGUCUUCGGAUUGUAAACUCCUGUUGUUGAGGAAGAUAAUGACGGUACUCAACAAGGAAGUGACGGCUAACUACGUG